GGGUUGUGAGGUUAAGCGACUAAGCGUACACGGUGGAUGCCCUGGCAGUCAGAGGCGAUGAAGGACGUGCUAAUCUGCGAUAAGCGCCGGUAAGGUGAUAUGAACCGUUAUAACCGGCGAUUUCCGAAUGGGGAAACCCAGUGUGACUCGUCACACUAUCAUUAACUGAAUCCAUAGGUUAAUGAGGCGAACCGGGGGAACUGAAACAUCUAAGUACCCCGAGGAAAAGAAAUCAACCGAGAUUCCCCCAGUAGCGGCGAGCGAACGGGGAGGAGCCCAGAGCCUGAAUCAGCAUGUGUGUUAGUGGAAGCGUCUGGAAAGGCGCGCGAUACAGGGUGACAGCCCCGUACACAAAAGCGCAUGUGCUGUGAGCUCGAUGAGUAGGGCGGGACACGUGGUAUCCUGUCUGAAUAUGGGGGGACCAUCCUCCAAGGCUAAAUACUCCUGACUGACCGAUAGUGAACCAGUACCGUGAGGGAAAGGCGAAAAGAACCCCGGCGAGGGGAGUGAAAAAGAACCUGAAACCGUGUACGUACAAGCAGUGGGAGCACCCUUUGGGGUGUGACUGCGUACCUUUUGUAUAAUGGGUCAGCGACUUAUAUUCUGUAGCAAGGUUAACCGUAUAGGGGAGCCGCAGGGAAACCGAGUCUUAACCGGGCGUUAAGUUGCAGGGUAUAGACCCGAAACCCGGUGAUCUAGCCAUGGGCAGGUUGAAGGUUGGGUAACACUAACUGGAGGACCGAACCGACUAAUGUUGAAAAAUUAGCGGAUGACCUGUGGCUGGGGGUGAAAGGCCAAUCAAACCGGGAGAUAGCUGGUUCUCCCCGAAAGCUAUUUAGGUAGCGCCUCGUGAAUUCAUCUCCGGGGGUAGAGCACUGUUUCGGCUAGGGGGCCAUCCCGGCUUACCAACCCGAUGCAAACUGCGAAUACCGGAGAAUGUUAUCACGGGAGACACACGGCGGGUGCUAACGUCCGUCGUGAAGAGGGAAACAACCCAGACCGCCAGCUAAGGUCCCAAAGUCAUGGUUAAGUGGGAAACGAUGUGGGAAGGCCCAGACAGCCAGGAUGUUGGCUUAGAAGCAGCCAUCAUUUAAAGAAAGCGUAAUAGCUCACUGGUCGAGUCGGCCUGCGCGGAAGAUGUAACGGGGCUAAACCAUGCACCGAAGCUGCGGCAGCGACACUCAGGUGUUGUUGGGUAGGGGAGCGUUCUGUAAGCCUGCGAAGGUGGCCUGUGAGGGUUGCUGGAGGUAUCAGAAGUGCGAAUGCUGACAUAAGUAACGAUAAAGCGGGUGAAAAGCCCGCUCGCCGGAAGACCAAGGGUUCCUGUCCAACGUUAAUCGGGGCAGGGUGAGUCGACCCCUAAGGCGAGGCCGAAAGGCGUAGUCGAUGGGAAACGGGUUAAUAUUCCCGUACUUGGUGUUACUGCGAAGGGGGGACGGAGAAGGCUAUGUUGGCCGGGCGACGGUUGUCCCGGUUUAAGCGUGUAGGCUGGUUUUCCAGGCAAAUCCGGAAAAUCAAGGCUGAGGCGUGACGACGAGGCACUACGGUGCUGAAGCAACAAAUGCCCUGCUUCCAGGAAAAGCCUCUAAGCAUCAGGUAACACGAAAUCGUACCCCAAACCGACACAGGUGGUCAGGUAGAGAAUACCAAGGCGCUUGAGAGAACUCGGGUGAAGGAACUAGGCAAAAUGGUGCCGUAACUUCGGGAGAAGGCACGCUGACAUGUAGGUGAAGUGAUUUACUCAUGGAGCUGAAGUCAGUCGAAGAUACCAGCUGGCUGCAACUGUUUAUUAAAAACACAGCACUGUGCAAACACGAAAGUGGACGUAUACGGUGUGACGCCUGCCCGGUGCCGGAAGGUUAAUUGAUGGGGUCAGCGCAAGCGAAGCUCCUGAUCGAAGCCCCGGUAAACGGCGGCCGUAACUAUAACGGUCCUAAGGUAGCGAAAUUCCUUGUCGGGUAAGUUCCGACCUGCACGAAUGGCGUAAUGAUGGCCAGGCUGUCUCCACCCGAGACUCAGUGAAAUUGAACUCGCUGUGAAGAUGCAGUGUACCCGCGGCAAGACGGAAAGACCCCGUGAACCUUUACUAUAGCUUGACACUGAACAUUGAGCCUUGAUGUGUAGGAUAGGUGGGAGGCUUUGAAGUGUGGACGCCAGUCUGCAUGGAGCCGACCUUGAAAUACCACCCUUUAAUGUUUGAUGUUCUAACGUGGACCCGUUACCCGGGUUGCGGACAGUGUCUGGUGGGUAGUUUGACUGGGGCGGUCUCCUCCUAAAGAGUAACGGAGGAGCACGAAGGUUGGCUAAUCCUGGUCGGACAUCAGGAGGUUAGUGCAAUGGCAUAAGCCAGCUUGACUGCGAGCGUGACGGCGCGAGCAGGUGCGAAAGCAGGUCAUAGUGAUCCGGUGGUUCUGAAUGGAAGGGCCAUCGCUCAACGGAUAAAAGGUACUCCGGGGAUAACAGGCUGAUACCGCCCAAGAGUUCAUAUCGACGGCGGUGUUUGGCACCUCGAUGUCGGCUCAUCACAUCCUGGGGCUGAAGUAGGUCCCAAGGGUAUGGCUGUUCGCCAUUUAAAGUGGUACGCGAGCUGGGUUUAGAACGUCGUGAGACAGUUCGGUCCCUAUCUGCCGUGGGCGCUGGAGAACUGAGGGGGGCUGCUCCUAGUACGAGAGGACCGGAGUGGACGCAUCACUGGUGUUCGGGUUGUCAUGCCAAUGGCACUGCCCGGUAGCUAAAUGCGGAAGAGAUAAGUGCUGAAAGCAUCUAAGCACGAAACUUGCCCCGAGAUGAGUUCUCCCUGAGACUUAGAGUCUCCUGAAGGAACGUUGAAGACGACGACGUUGAUAGGCCGGGUGUGUAAGCGCAGCGAUGCGUUGAGCUAACCGGUACUAAUGAACCGUGAGGCUUAACCUUACAACGCCGAAG
rnacentral:rRNA from 1 species